UACGGAGGAUCCAAGCGUUAUCCGGAUUUAUUGGGUUUAAAGGGUGCGUAGGCGGAUUGAUAAGUUAGAGGUGAAAUGUCCGAGCUUAACUCGGGAACUGCCUCUAAUACUGUUGAUCUAGAGAGUAGAUGCGGUAGGCGGAAUGUAUGGUGCAGCGGUGAAAUGCUUAGAGAUCAUACAGAACACCGAUUGCGAAGGCAGCUUACCAAUCUAUAUCUGACGUUGAGGCACGAAAGCGUGGGGAGCAAACAGG
rnacentral:rRNA from 1 species